rnacentral:rRNA from 1 species
GACGAACGCUGGCGGCGUGCUUAACACAUGCAAGUCGAACGGAAAGGCCCUGCUUUUUGGGGGGUGCCGGAGGGGCGACCGGGUGAGUAACCCGUGGUUACCCUGCCUUUGACUUUGGGUUACCUCCAGGAACUGGGGCCUAAUCCCGGAUAGGGGUUCUUGCUGCUUGGUGGGGGUUGGAAAUUUUCGGCGGUUGGGGAUGGACUCGCGGCUUAUCAGCUUGUUGGUGGGGUAGUGGCUUACCAAGGCUUUGACGGGUAGCCGGCCUGAGAGGGUGACCGGCCACAUUGGGACUGAGAUACGGCCCAGACUCCUACGGGAGGCAGCAGUGGGGAAUAUUGCACAAUGGGCGGAAGCCUGAUGCAGCAACGCCGCGUGCGGGAUGACGGCCUUCGGGUUGUAAACCGCUUUCGCCUGUGACGAAGCGUGAGUGACGGUAAUGGGUAAAGAAGCACCGGCUAACUACGUG